rnacentral:rRNA from 1 species
UACGAAGGGGCUAGCGUUAAUCGGAAUUACUGGGCGUAAAGCGUGCGCAGGCGGUUCGUGAUGUCUGAUGUGAAAGCCCCGGGCUCAACCUGGGAAUUGCAUUGGAAACUAGCGGGCUGGAGUGUGGCAGAGGGGGGUGGAAUUCCACGUGUAGCAGUGAAAUGCGUAGAGAUGUGGAGGAACACCGAUGGCGAAGGCAGCCCCCUGGGCUAACACUGACGCUCAGGCACGAAAGCGUGGGGAGCAAACAGG